GGUAUGGAGAGAGAGGCGGAGAGAGAGAGAGGUGUAUGGAGAGAGAGGCAGAGAGAGAGAGAGGUGUAUGGAGAGAGAGGCGGAGAGAGAGAGAGGUGUAUGGAGAGAGAGGCAGAGAGAGAGAGAGGUAAAGAGAGAGGCAGAGAGAGAGGCAGAGAGAGAGAGAGGUGUAUGGAGAGAGAGGCGGAGAGAGAGAGAGGUAUAGAGAGAGAGGCGGAGAGAGAGAUAGGUAUGGAGAGAGAGAGAGAGGUAUGGAGAGAGAGGCAGAGAGAGAGAGGUAUAGAGAGAGAGGCAGAGAGAGAGAGGUAUGGAGAGAGAGGCGGAGAGAGAGAGGGGUGUAUGGGGAGAGAGGUGGAGAGAGAGAGGUGUAUGGAGAGAGAGGCGGAGAGAGAGAGGUAUGGAGAGAGAGGCGGAGAGAGAGGUGUAUGGGGAGAGAGGCGGAGAGAGAGGUAUGGAAAAAGAGAGAGAGGUAUGGACUCACACGCACUCACACGCACUCACACGCACUCACACGCACUCACACGCACUCACACGCACUCACACCAUUUGAAUGUUUUGAAAAUCCUUGAGAAAGUUUGUGUGCGUCUGCGAGUGUGAGCGCGAGCGUGCGACAGCAUUAAGGGCAGCGACGUCAAUAAGAAAAUCCCUGACAAACUUCUCUGGCAGCUCGCGCUGUGGAAACGAGCCCAAUUACUCCAGCGCCGAGUUUUGUCAAAUUAAUGAAACCGAGCUGUGUGGAUAAAAAAAACCUGGCCUUAAACCCUCCACCUGUUCCCUGGAUCGCAUUCCAACAGCUUUCUACAAAUCUGCUGCUGACAGCACGGUGUGUGUGUGUGUGUGUGUGUGUGUGUGUGUGUGUGUGACAGCAUGUUUCCUGAGAAACAGGUGCCUUAAACACACGCUUAUCAAACCUCUUCCGAA